rnacentral:ncRNA from 2 species
AUGAACCUUCGGGGCAGGGUGAAAUUCCCGACCGGCGGUGAAACUGCAUGUUCUGUUCAGAUGGGACACGAUUUGCGGUUGAGCCCGCGACUCCGCGCAUCGGCUUUGCGUGGACUGACUUGGUGAAAAUCCAAGGCCGACGGUAUAGUCCGGAUGGGAGAAGGUAAAC